GACGAACGCUGGCGGCGUGCCUAAUACAUGCAAGUCGAGCGCAGGAAACUGACGGAACUCUUCGGAGGGAGGGCAGUGGAAUGAGCGGCGGACGGGUGAGUAACACGUAAGGAACCUGCCUCAAGGAUUGGGAUAACUCCGAGAAAUCGGAGCUAAUACCGGAUAGUUCAUCGGACCGCAUGGUCCGUUGAUGAAAGGCGCUUCGGCGUCACCUUGAGAUGGCCUUGCGGUGCAUUAGCUAGUUGGUGGGGUAACGGCCCACCAAGGGGACGAUGCAUAGCCGACCUGAGAGGGUGAUCGGCCACACUGGGACUGAGACACGGCCCAGACUCCUACGGGAGGCAGCAGUAGGGAAUCUUCCACAAUGGACGAAAGUCUGAUGGAGCAACGCCGCGUGAGUGAUGAAGGUUUUCGGAUCGUAAAACUCUGUUGUAAGGGAAGAACACGUACGAGAGGAAAUGCUCGUACCUUGACGGUACCUUACGAGAAAGCCACGGCUAACUACGUGCCAGCAGCCGCCGUAA
rnacentral:rRNA from 1 species